rnacentral:rRNA from 1 species
UACGUAGGGUGCAAGCGUUAAUCGGAAUUACUGGGCGUAAAGCGUGCGCAGGCGGCUUUGCAAGACAGAUGUGAAAUCCCCGGGCUUAACCUGGGAACUGCAUUUGUGACUGCAUGGCUGGAGUGCGGCAGAGGGGGGAUGGAAUUCCGCGUGUAGCAGUGAAAUGCGUAGAUAUGCGGAGGAACACCGAUGGCGAAGGCAGUCCCCUGGGCCUGCACUGACGCUCAUGCACGAAAGCGUGGG